GAGAGAAAGUGGGGUAUCACCUAGGGAAGAUGGAGGAAUCUAGUCUUAGGGUGUUUAUGCACAGAGAGAAGACCUGUAGAUUCGUUAAUAAGAAGAGUAGAUAAGAUGGAGGAUAAUCAAAUAACUAAAGGUAGAGGAUGACCUAGAAAAUGACGGAGAAAUAGAAGCAGAUGUAAAUCAUCGUAUUCAAGCUGGGUGGUUGAAAUGGAGAAGAGCCUCAGGCGUUUUGUGCGAUAAGAAAGUACCACUUAAGCUGAAAGGAAAGUUCUAUCGGACAGCAGUCAAACCGGCAAUGUUGUAUGGUACAGAGUGUUGGGCGGUUAAGAGCCAACGCAAGAGUAAAGUAAGUGUAGCGGGGAUGAGGAUGUUGCGCUGGAUGAGUGGUAAGACUAGACAAUAUAGGAUUAGGAAUGACACCAUUAGAGAGAGUGGGGGUAGCACCUAUAGUAGAAAAGUUGGUAGAAAAUAGGCUUAGAUGGUUUGGACAUGUAGAGAGAAGACCCGUAGAUGCCGUUGUAAGAAGAGUAGAUCAAAUGGAGGAGAGUCAGGUUAAAAGAGGUAGAGGAAGACCUAAGAAAACCAUUCGAGAAACCAUUAGAAAAGAUUUAGAGGUCAAUGAGUUGGAUCCAAAUAUGGUUUUUGAUAGAACACUAUGGCGUCAUUUGAUCCAUGUAGCCGACCCCACUUAGUGGGACAAGGCUUGGUUGUUGUUGUUGU
rnacentral:lncRNA from 1 species